CCGACAGUUUCUCCGGCUGGUGCCAAAAAUGACAUUCUUUGGCAGGGCACAGGGCUGCUGUAAAGCACUACUCAGGAACACAAUGUUCGGGACGCUGGAUGCAGCAAAGAAGCACUCUUAGAUUAAACAAGACCAAUGUGAUAACUGCUGAGCUCUUAUGGAAAACAACACAGUCGAAGCAUUACUACUGUUGAAAUAUUACUGUAACAUUACAGGAACAGUCACUUAGUGAAGUUGUCCUCUUUUUUGGUCCACUUUGCCGAGUGAUUGAUUGACACUUCCUCCAGCCAAUAGGCCACUCAAUCUCCUGGCUGUGGUCCUGGCCCAACAGAGGGGAGAUGAGAGUUAUUCUGCCUGCAAUGCCAAGGGUAAUGAGAACAACGCCACCACUGUAUCUGGCUUCCCGGGGUCUGUGCCAGUCUACGGGCCUCUCUCUCCAUCCAUGGCCGAGCUCCCCUCACCCUCAGUCAGCCACGGAUGGAGAUGGUAGUAGGGCUAGGAUAGAGGAUGGAGAUGGUAGUAGGGCUGGGUUAGAGGAUGGAGACGGUAGUAUGGCUGUGUAUGGUAGUAUGGCUGGGAUAGAGGAUGGAGAUGGUAGUAUGGCUGGGAUAGAGGAUGGAGAUGGUAGUAGGGCUGGGAUAGAGGAUGGAGAUGGUAGUAUGGCUGGGUUAGAGGAUUGAGAUGGUAGUAUGGCUGUGUGUGGUAGGGCCGGGAUAGAGAAUGGAGAUGGCAGUAUGGCUGUGUGGUAGGGCUGGGAUAGAGGAUGGAGAUGGUAGUAUGGCUGGGAUAGAGGAUGGAGAUGGUAGUAUGGCUGGGUUAGAGGAUGGAGAUGGUAGUAUGGCUGGGAUAGAGGAUGGAGAUGGUAGUAUGGCUGGGAUAGAGGAUGGAGAUGGUAGUAUGGCUGGGAUAGAGGAUGGAGAUGGUAGUAGGGCUGGGAUAGAGGAUGGAGAUGGUAGUAUGGCUGGGUUAGAGGAUUGAGAUGGUAGUAUGGCUGUGUGUAGUAGGGCUGGGAUAGAGAAUGGAGAUGGUGGUAUGGCUGUGUGUGGUAGGGCUGGGAUAGAGGAUGGAGAUGGUAGUAUGGCUGUGUGUGGUAGGGCUGGGAUAGAGGAUGGAGAUGGUGGUAUGGCUGUGUGUGGUAGGGCAGGGAUAGAGGAUGGAGAUGGUAGUAUGGCUGGGAUAGAGGAUGGAGAUGGUAGUAUGGCUGUGUGUGGUAGGGCUGGGAUA
ensembl:lncRNA